ensembl:lncRNA
CUGCAAGAGAUAAAAAUGGAGUAGUUUUGUUUGCUGGCUAUAAGAAAUGUAGCAGAAGACUAAGAGUCAGAUUCUAUUAAGUGUUUAGCAGACUAUUGAAUUCACAUAAUCACUAAUAGUUUCUGGAAGCUGUUCAGCGAGAAGACAUGGAAAUUACUAACUCAUAGCUGGUUCCUUCUAUGUUUAUCCCUUAGUUUGGUAAGGAUAUAUCAGCAACAGAGUGAAAUCCAGUCUUGUUGAAGUCAAUAGGCGUUUUGGCAGGAUUUCAUCUCAAGAUGCAUACAAACGUUUUAAAAUUUCUAUGAAAAAUAUAACUUCAUGGAGCAACACAACAAAAGCAACAUUAUAUUUCAUGAAUAAAUCUAGCCAUCAUUGAGAAAUAAUGGUCAAGAGGAUCUUGGCACUCCUUCUGUACAGACAUGAAGAAACAAAGAGUAUCCACUUACAUAUCAGGUAAGUAGAGCUAGUGCUGUUUUAUCUGAAGUUUAGUUGUGAAGGUCUUACGCCCUAACCCAAGUUUUUUUCUCUCUCUGUUCUGCUCUAUAUUUGAAACUGUUAGUCUGCUGAAGUUGAACCUCCUCUUCAGAGCAGACAAAUAGUUGGAGAAGCAGGAGAAACCCAGCAAUGUCCAG